GCUUAGGAAUCUGCCUAUUAGUGGGGACAACAUCUCGAAAGGGAUGCUAAUACCGCAUACGUCCUACGGGAGAAAGCAGGGGACCUUCGGGCCUUGCGCUAAUAGAUGAGCCUAAGUCGGAUUAGCUAGUUGGUGGGGUAAAGGCCUACCAAGGCGACGAUCUGUAGCGGGUCUGAGAGGAUGAUCAGCCACACUGGAACUGAGACACGGUCCAGACUCCUACGGGAGGCAGCAGUGGGGAAUAUUGCACAAUGGGCGCAAGCCUGAUGCAGCCAUGCCGCGUGUGUGAAGAAGGCUCUA
rnacentral:rRNA from 1 species